GAGGGCUUAACUGUCUCCUGUAGCCAAUCAAUGAAAUUGAUCUCACAGUACAAAUGCUGUGAUACAACUAUAAGACGAGAAGACCCUGUGGAGCUUUAAACCUACCACAUUAACUAAUUACCCUCAACUACGAUUAGUAUAACGUAAGUUUUAAGUUGGGGCGACUAUGGAGCAAAAAUUAACCUCCAAGUAAUACGAUUAAACCUCGUUACACACGGCUAACAAGCCUAGUCAAAACACACGACCCAGUCAAACUGACUAUCGAACCAAGUUACCCCAGGGAUAACAGCGCCAUCCCCUUAAAGAGUUCACAUCG
rnacentral:rRNA from 1 species